UGAGGAAUAUUGGGCAAUGCCCGCAAGGGUGACCCAGCAACGCCGCGUGGAGGAUGAAUGUCGUAAGAUUGUAAACUCCUGUUAGAGGGGAAGAAUAGUACCGGUUGGACCGGUAUAUGACUGUACACUCAGAGAAAACCCCGGCUAACUACGUGCCAGCAGCCGCGGUAAUACGUAGGGGGCAAGCGUUGUCCGGAUUUACUGGGUGUAAAGGGCGCGCAGGCGGGAUAAAAAGUCAGUGGUGAAAUCCUACAGCUUAACUGUAGAACUGCCUUUGAUACUUUUAUUCUUGAGUUCGGGAGAGAGAGACGGAAUUCCAGGUGUAGUGGUGAAAUACGUAGAUAUCUGGAAGAACACCAGUUGCGAAGGCGGUCUCUUGGUCCGACACUGACGCUGAGGCGCGAAAGCGUGGGGAGCAAACA
rnacentral:rRNA from 1 species